GAUUAAGCCAUGCAUGUGUAAGUAUAAAUAGUUAACUUUGAAACUGCGAAUGGCUCAUUAUAUCAGUUAUAGUUUAUUUGAUGAAGAAUACUAAUUGGAUAACCGUAGUAAUUCUAGAGCUAAUACAUGUAUAAAGUCUUGUAGACUGCAUUUAUUAGAAUGAAAACCAUAGGUUUCGGCCUAUUCGUGAGUAAUAAUAACUAAUCAUAUCGUAUGCUUAAGUAACGAUGUGUCUUUCAAGUUCGCCCUAUCAGCUUUCGAUGGUAGUGUAUUGGACUACCAUG
rnacentral:rRNA from 1 species